rnacentral:rRNA from 1 species
CAGCCGCCACGGUAAUACGAAGGGGGCUAGCGUUGCUCGGAAUGACUGGGCGUAAAGGGCGCGUAGGCGGCGGCCAAAGUCAGGCGUGAAAUUCCCGGGCUCAACCUGGGGGCUGCGUUUGAUACUUGGUUGCUUGAGUGGGAGAGGUGAGUGGAAUUUCCGGUGUAGCGGUGAAAUGCGUAGAUAUCGGAAGGAACACCUGUGGCGAAAGCGGCUCACUGGACCAUAACUGACGCUGAUGCACGAAAGCUAGGGGAGCAAACAGGAUUAGAUACCCCGGUAGUCCCUGUCUCUUAUACAC